AACCUGAGCUGGAUACAUUCCUGAGGGAGGGGGCUCCCUGGUGGGCUAGAGGCUGCCAGUCUGCCCAACAACCAGUGAUGCAUUUCAAAUUGGUUGGCUGACAGCCAACAGGUGCUGGCAUCCAUUGGACCAGGUAAAUGAGGUCAUAAGGGCUAUAUAAGUUAAGGACUGCCCAGGAGGAGGAGGCAGCAGCUAUGAGGAAAACUCAGAGAGAGAGAAGAGAUGGACCAUCUGAAACUUGCUCUUUCUCUCAAAACUCAUGAUCAAUGAACUGCCUGCCUCCAGAGGAAAUCUCCACCUGCCUCUGGAUGAUACUAGACUGUGAUUACCCUGACGGCACCUACAGUAACCUCAUUAUUCUUAGACCAGAUCCUCUGGGGUAAAGCCAGAAUUGUUCCACUUACAGCAUUUCCAUUCAGAGAGGGAAGAUGAUCCUGUGGUGCGGGUUGAUUUGGAAAGCAGAAGACUCUGGUCUGAAUUCCCUGCUCCCAACAAAUGUCUUGAAUUGCUUUGCACAAGUCAUUCAAGUCCCAAACAAUGAUUUCAAUAGCAGUAAGCCAGCUAAAUAUCUUUGAGCCUUACUCUCUAUCCCCCUCCUCUCCACCUGUAAAAUGGAUGCUGUGAGGACAAAUACAUUCCAGACUGGGGGGUCUAUGAUGGGAGCCAUGUAAGUACCAUCCAUAUAUAGCUACCAUAUCCUGUUUUGUUUUGCUUUUUAAUUGGUAACUUCUGGAGGAUAAUACUAUUGCUACUUUAUAUAUAUGUUUAUCUCCUUUAAGGAGAGUUUGGCAAUGGCAAUAUGUAAUAUUCACUCAUCCAGAAUCAACAGGCAGCAGCUACAGCGUUAGUAUUAUUUUGGCAUUUAAAUUUACAAUAACUAGCCUUGCCCUUCCAAAACAAAAAUCUGAUUUUGAAUGCCUAACCCUGUGAAGUGAAGAGUUCCUGUGACUUCAGGGAGUGCAUUUUUAACACAAGGUGACUUGUUAUUUUCCCUACUAUGAAAUCUUAAGCAGGUAGUGCUUUGAAGAGUUACAAAGUGUAGACAUAGAGGGAAGGAGCUGCAGUGUUGGAGGCCAAGAGAAAAGGAAAACAAGUCAGAAGAUUCUGAAUAGAAUAACUGUAAUGAUAAUAUAGUAGUCCUUCAUUUAUAUUUAUGUAGCACUGCCCCAUUCUGUCAUGCCAAUUGAUUUGCAAAAACACUUGAACAGAUACAGCAGAACAAAAACACAUUAUCAUAAGAUGUCACAGUUUUAAAAUAUAACCACACUAAAGCCUGGCUGAAUAAGCAAAGGAAACUGUUAUCAUUUACCGUGUUUUUUCACUGUCUAUAAUCCAUAUUUGUUGCAUCAUGACAAUCCAAAGCCCAUAUCUUGGAGGACACAUUGCAUAAGCAGACCCUAACACACAUAAAACUCUAAAACACAGAGGCUGUGUCCAGAUGAGUGCGGCCAUACACCAUGUGGCACCGCAGACCCAUCUGCAGUGCUGCACACUGCACAUUCAAGCAUUUCCCAUGCUGCUACCUUGCAGCCUGGGGGUGUUUUUGAGCCCAAGAGAUCCCUGGUUUGAAAAAAAACACAUGCAGAAAAAAAGCACAUGUGGAGGCAGCAUGUGCCACCCAAAACCAGUGCCUGGCCAGCC